rnacentral:rRNA from 1 species
GAUGAACGCUAGCGACAGGCUUAACACAUGCAAGUCGAGGGGUAACAGGGAGCUUGCUCCGCUGACGACCGGCGCACGGGUGAGUAACGCGUAUGCAACCUACCCGUAAGAGGGGGGUAACCCGGAGAAAUUCGGAUUAACACCGCAUACUAACAUUGAUUGGCAUCGAGUGGUGUUUAAAUAUUUAUAGCUUAUGGAUGGGCAUGCGUCUGAUUAGUUAGUUGGGGAGGUAACGGCUCACCAAGACAACGAUCAGUAGGGGUUCGGAGAGGAAGGUCCCCCACACUGGUACUGAGACACGGACCAGACUCCUACGGGAGGCAGCAGUGAGGAAUAUUGGUCAAUGGGCGAGAGCCUGAACCAGCCAAGUCGCGUGAAGGAAGACUGCCCUAUGGGUUGUAAACUUCUUUUGUAGGGGGGUAAAGUGAUCUACGUGUAGAUUAUUGCAAGUACCCUACGAAUAAGGAUCGGCUAACUCCGUGCCAGCCGCCGCGGUAACAC